rnacentral:lncRNA from 1 species
CCUAUUAAGAAUAGAAUUUCUUGUAGGCUUUGUGACCAGGGGGAUUAGCGCUGCUUUCCCAAGACAGGUUUAUAUGUGAUUAUGAUCUUCAGGCUUUGCCUAACCAGGUGGGCAUUAUUUUAUUAUUACGUAUAUAGAGAUCCCCUGCGUGACGUAGGCCUCUUAUACGAAUAUAUGCAUGAGAUGAUUUUAACUGUUAAUUUCAGUUUAUUAUUAUGCCCAAAUGAUAAAUGACUCUUAUGAAAUGAAAAUGAAAUGCUAAUGAAAUGAAAUGUUUAUGAAAUGAUUGACUGCCAAAAAUGUUUUAUGUUUUUAUAUGUAUCCUAUCUGUGUUGGUUCGCCAACUUUAAAGGAAAUCCAAUUGGGAUCCUAUGCUAGACAAAGGUCGCUAGCUAGGGUUAACGUGUACACUCAUGGAGACCGCGAGUCGCUUGCGACCGGUCUUGGCGUCCGUGGUAAGGAGGCCUCCUUCCCGGCGCGUGACAGAAAGGAACAGAUAUGGAUCAUAUGAAGGAAAAUGAUCGGCCGAUCGACUUUAUGAAAAUGAAAGAAAUAUUUUAGUAAGCGCAGGUCUUUCAAGAAAACCCCUGUGUGUUACUGUUAUGGCAGUUCAAUUUAUAUAUGUAUGCAUGAUGUAUUUUCGGCUAUGCCCACUGAGUAUUUUUAUACUCAGCCCUGCAUGUAUUUCUAAAUGUGCAGGUUGAGCAGUUGAUGGAAUGGAAUGAUGUUGAGCGGGUGUUCCUUUGACAUUUCAAGAAAUAUAACCUUGAGUAUACAUCUUCAUAUGUAUAUCUCACACGUUUUUCCGCUGCAAAACACUUUGAUUAGGAUAACUCUAUGUUAUGAAGUUGUUACACGUGUUAUUGGGUAACCCACCUUAAUCAGUUCUCUUUUAUGUGUAUGUUUUAUAAGUAUCCAAAUGAUCAUAUAUGAUCCUAGCUUUUUAUCUAUAAGUGAUAUUUUCAUAUACUUUAAUGUUAAGUAAUUGUCCAUUUCCA